rnacentral:rRNA from 1 species
UGCCAGCAGCCGCGGUAAUACGGAGGGUGCAAGCGUUGUUCGGAAUUACUGGGCUUAAAGCGCGUGCAGGCGGAAUAUCAGGUGCCUUGUGAAAGCCCCGGGCUCAACCCGGGAAUUGCUGGGCAAACCGGUAUUCUUGAGGCAGGUAGAGGUGACUGGAACAACUGGUGGAGCGGUGAAAUGCGUAGAUAUCAGUUGGAACGCCGGAGGCGAAAGCGGGUCACUGGGCUUGUCCUGACGCUCAGACGCGAAAGCGUGGGUAGCAAACAGGAUUAGAUA